GUAGCGAAAGGGUGAACCCGCCGCGAGGAGGGGGCACAAAGCCACGGGCCUGACGUAAAAGAUCAGGCUGCCGGGCUGCCGAA
rnacentral:ncRNA from 1 species